rnacentral:tRNA from 1 species
GGAGAGGUGGCUGAGUGGUCGAAAGCGGCACCGUGCUAAGGUGUUAGGGGCGCAAGUCUCUCAUGGGUUCGAAUCCCAUCCUCUCCG